CGAAGAGUCAAUGCAUGUGAUACGCUUGAUCAUGUGAUCAGAGUUGGUGAGUGGAUUGAUGGAAUGGAGGGUAAGAAAUGGUGAGGAAGCAAGGAUGGUUUCGGGUGAUGGGGGGAAUCCGUGAGUGAAUGGUGGCGUGAGGAGGGUGUUGUUUCUGAGUGAGGGAGAAAAAAAAUGAGUGUGUAAGGUGACUCUGUUAGGUAGGUAAUGGCGUGAGAAUGGUGUUCCCCCCUUCCCCAGAGGCGUGGUCAGUUGCGUUGGUUAAUCGAUGUUCGUAUGAGAGUGGAAGAGUGCCCCUUUCAAAAUGUGCAUUCCUUUAACUGUUUUCUUUUUUUUUCUUUUUCGCCCAUUGCCAAUCUACACUGCUAAAACCAAAACGUGAAUCCCCUCCUUGCCUGCAGCAGAAACUGCUUUCUCUGCAAACUACCACGUGAACGUACUUCCUCCAAAGCACUUUCUCGUUUUUUUUAUUAUUAUUUUUUAAUUUUGCACUAAAAGACAAAACGCCCUUUUUUCUCUUUUAUUAUUUUUUCUACGUUUCCCUUUUCCUUUUUUUCUUAUCUUCUUGUUUCUUUC
rnacentral:lncRNA from 1 species